UACACAUUUAAUAUUCUUCAUUCCCUAAUAUUUAAUUUCAAUUGUUAUUACAAAUAUUUUACGAUUCGCGGAUUAUUGAAAAACAAAAUAUGUAUAUUUCAACAACCGAGUUAUAGUCUUCGGGAACUAGUUUUCCGAGCAUUUUUCUUUUUCUACGCAUUUUCGCCGUAUUCGAGUCGAGUUUAUCGUGUGCGUUUGCCCGGUAACGACGGGCGUUCAAGUCACUGUACGCGUAUAAUGUUUUAUGCGAAUUCACCGCCGCCGUGUAAACUGUAUGUGUAUAACCCGGGGAUUAAAGGCCAGUAUACCUGAUAUAAUAAUUAUUAUUAUACAAUACCCAUAUUUAUUAUAAUCGUAUCUAUAUCCAAACGAAUUUUAGUUUCUAUAAGUAUAACACAUAUUGCAGUUCGUUUUCGUAGUUUAAUAAAAUCACAGACGUGUAUUGUACUAUUAUACUAUAAUAUGUAUAUUAUUUCGAUAUGAUCAAACAGAAUUAAAAAUAAUCCGAUGAGAGGAGGAGGCCGAACAUCUGAAUGUUAAACGAGAACUAUAAACAACGGCAAUACCAAUAUUACCUGUGAGCAGUAUUUGUCUAGAGACUAAAUCAUUCAGUCUCUAUCGCAGUCAUCCGCUGUAAUCGUUAAUUUCCCCGAUAUCUUUCGUAUAACGCCCUUUUAAGCCUUUACCUAUCGAGAACCGUGUCUUAUUAUUUGAUUUGACGCAGAUAAAAGCGCCUUUCUCCUUAGACUUUAAUCCAAAUCCGAACGAGGUUUUUUAACACAAUAACGAGACAUAAUAUCCUUUUUUAUUUUUUCAAGAAAAUACACACAUGCACGUAUUAUAUACGGUUUGGAAAACUCGAGAGCUAAAAGUGAAAUUCUGCCGAGCUUAGCCCCCGAAUCCCGCGAGGUUAUAAUACAGUGUUGUGCGUACGAAAUAUAUACAUAAAAUAACGCCCAAGUGCGUGGAUCGAAAGUGUACUUAUGGUGGUGAUAUUGUGUAGGUAUACAUAGUGAUUGUCCGACCAAUACUUUUCAUAUAGUAUAGGUAUGAUAUAGAUAGUGAUAAGUUUGUAAAUACAAUUUGUUGUACAUUAUUAUCAAACUGCCGCUGCCAUCGGCAGCGCGCGGUCGAGAGUAUGUUCUAGUCAUUUCCCUCCGUAUAUCCUCAAACCGUAUUAUGUACAUUUUGUAUACAGGUUGUUUUUUUUCCAAUCGUUGUCCAGCGAUAUUGUUUUUGGUGUUUGAUUUUUUUUUUUUUUUUGUUAUUGUAUAAAUAUACCUAUAGAGUCGUUUAACGGUCAAUUUACAAUAUGUUUAAAACGUUUCCCUUAAUCCGAAUACGCGAUACACAAAUAUCGACUUUUGAUUUUCAAAUAGCAAACUCCCAUCCUAUUCAACGCGGAUUCGAAAAGAGAAUAGUUUUCUAAAAAUAUUAAUAAGCACAACACUUUAUUAUACAUGAUAUUGUAUUAACCGUUUAUGAGUUAUAAACUGUUAAAAAUUUAAACCUGAGAGUUAAGGCGAAAGGCUAUCGUAUAUACAGAUGGAUGAAAGAUGUUUAUCGUCCCUUCCUACUUUUUCGGUCUAAAUUUUAAACUGUUAUUAUAACUCAUAAACGGUUUAUUCGAUAGAACUGUUAUAGUCACAUAGCACAACAUUUAAAAUAGUUAAAUAUAAUAUUAUUUUUUCGAAUCUAUAAUGAAUAGAGUGGUGAGUUUGUUCUUUGAAAAUCAAAAUUUAAUACGCAUUUAAGAUACAAGGAGUAGGGGAUAAAAACUGAAGAUUAUGUUAAAGUCAUAAAACGUAUAAAAAAUUCAAUUAGGAUAAAAAAAAAAACACAAAUUAAAUUUACUUAAAACUUUUAUUAUUACCUACGAGGAAUCACUGAAUCAUAAUAUAAAAAAACACCCUGUACAUAUUUAAUAUACAUAAUAUGUAAAUAGGUACAUAUCGUAUACUUAACCCCAUGGGUGUAUGCAAGAGGGGGAGGGUUGGGUGGUCAAAUCUCCCUUAAAUUUUCACGUUUUGUUUUUACCAUACAAAUUAGUUAUAUAUUAUAAUUUUUAAUUUUAUUAACUGCUAUGUAUUACAUAACUUUUAAAAAUAUAUUAUAUUAUAAUAUUGACCCUCCUUUUCCUAGUCAAGAAAACUAUUUCCUAUCUAUACACCCAUGCUUUCCCCCACACAUAGUAAUAAAUAAUACUACUAUAAUUUGUACAUAUAUAUAUAUACACAUUAACAAUAAAUAUCGAUACAUUUUAAUAUUUGUAAUUAAUUAUAAUUAUUCCGUAUAAUCUAGUCGAAACACAUAGUUAUAACCUAGUCAAAAAUAAUUUUUUUAUUUAAAUGUAUAGUUUAAUAGGUACACCUAUCUAGUCUAUAAUCUAGUCUAUAUUAUUUUAGUCGUAAUCGAGUCUAGUCAUAUUACAUUCAGUAAAAUCUGACCGAAAUAAAGUCUAGUCAUUCAUAUAAGGUUUAGUCAGACCGUCUGUAUCUCAAUUGAUUAGAUGCAGGCUAAUCAGAUGAUAAAUUAAGGAGCGCCAACAUUGAUUAAACAUUCUAUUCUCUUUAUGGAUUUAUCAUUCCAUCUACUUAAAAUGGUAUUUACUCCGUUAGCAGACGAAAAAUCUUUCAAUCCUAUUGAUAUUCGUGAAAAAUCGCCAAUACUGCAGAUUUCUAUCCGAUUAACAUCAGAUUAAUUAUACGGAACAAGCGGUAAGCGAAAUUUUAUAUGAAGUUUCCAUAGUCAUUUUUUGAAUGCGUAAACAUAAGCCGUUAAUCGUUAUAUAUAUAUAAAUAUAGUUAAUAAUUCUAUAAUCUAGUCAAAAUAUAUUAUUGUAAUCUAGUCGAAAUAUACUAUUGUAAUCUAGUCGAAAUAUAUUAUUAUAAUCUAGUCAAUUAAAAAGUAAAACAAAAAAAAAAGCCUAUACAUAAGUAUACAUCUAUACCUAUAAUAAUAAUAUCUAGUCAAUAAAAUAUUAUAACAUAGUCGUAAUCGAAUCUAGUCUGACGUUCAGUCCAAUCUGACUGAAAUAAACGUCUAGUCAAACGUUAAAUUAUAGCGUAGUAUCAAGUUUAGGCGUAUAAUUGACAUUCUGUAAAAAAAAUAUAUUAUUAUAAUAUCGUAUAAUGUUCGAAUGAGUCCGCAUCAUCUAAUCUUAGGGGUAUUGGCUUUUGGCGGCCGCAAGUGUACACGCAUGUCGGUGACCGAGAUUUUGGUUACGGUUUACAAAAUACAAAUUAAAAUCGGUUUAAAUUAUAAUGUAAUGUGUACUCGUAUGUUAAUAUCAGUGUUGUAAAGUUCGUAUUUUUAAAAUAAAUAAAUUUAUAUCCUAUAUAGUUGAAAAUGUAAUAAUAUUGUACUUAUAAUUAUCUAUCAGGAGUUAUAAAAUUUUUUUUUUUUAGUCUUUGAUGGAGUAUAUUAAUAAUUGUAUUUAUUCUAUCGCAAGAUAUUAUUUAUGUAAUGCAAUUUGUAAUUAUUUUGUUUUUUUUUUUUUUUAAUUUAAACAUAUAUAAUCUAUGUAUCAUGUCCUAAUAUUUAAUAUAGUACGCAGUGAACAUUUUACUUUAUGCUAUAAUGUUUAUAGCCCCACAUAUUUAUUAUUAUUAUUUUUUUUUUUAAACAUAUCUAUAUUGUAUAGUUAUAGAUAUGAACAGAUUAAUCAAUUGCCUAUAUAACAAAUAUUAUUAUAUUUUAUGUUGUACCUUUUAUGCGAAUGUACAUCUUUUUAUUUUAUUGUCAAUAUUAUUUUAUUGUUAAGCAAAUAUUUUAUUUUUAUUUUUUUUUUUUCGUAUUUAUUUAUUUUACGUAACUAAUAUCAUUUUUAAUAUUUCAAACACAUCGAUAUUAAUUAUUAUACACACACAUAUAUAUUUAUUGUUAAUAUUUCGCACAAAUUAUAAAUUUAUAAAAGUAAAUUACAUUAUUAUAUUAUACGAGUUCUCGAAAUAUAAAAGAAAAACUCAAUUAUUACGCUAUUAUACAUUUUUUUCUAUCACAAACAUAUUAUAUUUGUAUAUUAUUAUCAUUCCUAUAUUAUACUAUAUUACAUAUUUUAUGGUUUUGUUUUGUUUUGGUUUUUUUUAAAAAAUCCAAAAUAGGUACUUCACACAACAGGUGGGGGUGGGUCUCUGUCGCGAGUUAAGAAUGUAAGACAAACCUACAUACUAUGAUAAUGAUCACAAUCAGUGGAGACGAAAAAUGGCUUUAGGGCAAAUUCGCUUCAACAUGUUUUGACGAAUUUAC
rnacentral:lncRNA from 1 species